rnacentral:rRNA from 1 species
UAAAGAAAGCGUAAUAGCUCACUGGUCGAGUCGGCCUGCGCGGAAGAUGUAACGGGGCUAAACCAUGCACCGAAGCUGCGGCAGCGACACUGUGUGUUGUUGGGUAGGGGAGCGUUCUGUAAGCCUGCGAAGGUGGCCUGUGAGGGUUGCUGGAGGUAUCAGAAGUGCGAAUGCUGACAUAAGUAACGAUAAAGCGGGUGAAAAGCCCGCUCGCCGGAAG